rnacentral:rRNA from 1 species
AAUAGAUACCCCGGUAGCCCACGCCGUAAACGAUGAGUGCUAAGUGUUAGAGGGUUUCCGCCCUUUAGUGCUGCAGCUAACGCAUUAAGCACUCCGCCUGGGGAGUACGGUCGCAAGACUGAAACUCAAAGGAAUUGACGGGGGCCCGCACAAGCGGUGGAGCAUGUGGUUUAAUUCGAAGCAACGCGAAGAACCUUACCAGGUCUUGACAUCCCACUGACCGAUAUAGAGAUAUACCUUUCCCUUCGGGGACAGUGGUGACAGGUGGUGCAUGAUUGUCGUCAACUCGUGUCGUGAGAUGUUGGGUUAAGUCCCGCAACGAGCGCAACCCUUGAUCUUAGUUGCCAGCAUUUAGUUGGGCACUCUAAGGUGACUGCCGGUGACAAACCGGAGGAAGGUGGGGAUGACGUCAAAUCAUCAUGCCCCUUAUGACCUGGGCUACACACGUGCUACAAUGGAUGGUACAAAGGGCUGCAAGACUGCGAAGUCAAGCCAAUCCCAUAAAACCAUUCUCAGUUCGGAUUGCAGG